CAGAUCUUUGGUGAUGAUGAUGGUGAUGGUGAUGAUGAUGAUCCUGCCGACUACGCCAACUGACACGAGCAGGACUGCAUCGAGGUCCCGUGAUCGCCCCCAGGUGGUCCUGGAGUCAGGAUCGCCUCUGCUCCAGUUUUCGGCGGACACAACCAUCUUUGUUUGUAUGUGGUGCUGAGGAUCGAACCCAGGCCGCACAAAUGCCAGGUUCCUUAGGAUUUUCUGCACACAAGGUCAUGUCACCUAUGAAUAAAGACAGGAGAAAACAGGCACAGUGGCUCAUGCUUACAACAGGUUCAUGCCUGUCUCUCUCUCUCUCUCUCUCUCUCUCUCUCUCUCU